AAGAUUAAGCUAGAAGGUGAUGAUUGAAACAAAAAGAGAACAAAGUAAAAAGACAGCAGAUUU
rnacentral:sRNA from 1 species